AUUGAACGCUGGCGGCAUGCCUUACACAUGCAAGUCGAACGGCAGCACGGGAGCAAUCCUGGUGGCGAGUGGCGAACGGGUGAGUAAAGUAUCGGAACGUGCCCAGUCGUGGGGGAUAACGUAGCGAAAGUUACGCUAAUACCGCAUACGAUCUAUGGAUGAAAGCGGGGGAUCGCAAGACCUCGCGCGAUUGGAGUGGCUGAUAUAAGAUUAGGUAGUUGGUGGGGUAAAGGCUCACCAAGCCGACGAUCUGUAGCUGGUCUGAGAGGACGACCAGCCGUACUGGGACUGAGACACGGCCCAGACUCCUACGGGAGGCAGCAGUGGGGAAUUUUGGACAAUGGGCGAAAGCCUGAUCCAUCCAUGCCGCGUGCAGGAUGAAGGCCUUCGGGUUGUAAACUGCUUUUGUACGGAACGAAAAGGUUUGGCCUAAUAAGCUGAGCUCAUGACGGUACCGUAAGAAUAAGCACCGGCUAACUACGUGCCAGCAGCCGCGGUAA
rnacentral:rRNA from 1 species